UGGGGAAUAUUGCGCUAAUGCGCGAAAGCGUGACGCAGCGACGCCGCGUGGGGGAUGAAGGCCCUCGGGUCGUAAACCCCUUUCGCCAGGGACGAAGGGAAACUGACGGUACCUGGAGAAGAAGUCCCGGCUAACUACGUGCCAGCAGCCGCGGUAACACGUAGGGGACGAGCGUUGUCCGGAAUCAUUGGGCGUAAAGCGCGCGUAGGCGGCCCGGAAAGUCGGUUGUGAAAGCCCGGGGCUCAACCCCGGGACUGCAUCCGAUACUUCCGGGCUGGAGGUAGGUAGGGGAGAUCGGAAUUCCUGGUGUAGCGGUGAAAUGCGCAGAUAUCAGGAGGAACACCGGUGGCGAAGGCGGAUCUCUGGGCCUUACCUGACGCUGAGGCGCGAAAGCUAGGGGAGCGAACAGGAUUAGAUACCCUGGUAGUCCUAGCCGUAAACGUUGGGUGCUAGGUGUGGGUGGACAUCGACCCCAUCCGUGCCGAAGCUAACGCAUUAAGCACCCCGCCUGGGGA
rnacentral:rRNA from 1 species